ensembl:lncRNA
AUUUUCAUUGUUAAAAUAAUAAACAGACGACAUAUUUAACAAUAAUAAUAACACAAUCAUUGGGAAAACAUCUAAAGCAGUUCCUGAGAAGAGAGAAAAGAAGAAAAGUUAUUAACAUGUUAAUGUUAGUGUGUCUGUGUGUACAUCUAAUUGUUAGUGUGUCUGUGUGUACAUCUAAAUACUAAUAUGUCUUUGUGUAUAUCUAAAUAUUAGUGUGUGUCUUUGUUUAGUACCAAAUGUUAGUGUGUCUGUGUGUACAUCUAAAUAUUAAUAUGUCUUUGUGUAUUAGUGUGUGUCUUUGUGUACAUCUAAAUGUUAGUGUUUGUCUUUGUUUAGUACCAAAUGUUAGUGUGUCUGUGUGUACAUGUAAUUGUUAGUGUGUGUCUUUGUUUAGAACCAAAUGAUAGUGUGUCUGUGUGUAUAUCUAAUUGUUAUUGUGUCUUUGUGUACAUCUAAAUAUUAGUGUGUGUCUUUGUUUAGAACCAAAUGAUAGUGUGUCUGUGUGUACCUCUAAUUGUUAGUGUGUCUGUGUGUACAUCUAAAUAUUAAUAUGUCUUUGUGUACAUCUAAAUAUUAGUGUGUCUCUAACCAAAUGUUAGUGUGUCUGUGUGUACAUCUAAUUGUUAGUGUGUCUGUGUGUGGAUCUAAUUGUUAGUGUGUCUGUGUGUACAUCUAAUUGUUGUCUUUGAGUACAUCUAAAUAUUAGUGUGUGUCUGUGUUUAGAACCAAAUGUUAGUGUGUCUGUGUGUACAUCUAAUUGUUAGUGUGUCUGUGUGUACAUCUAAUUGUUAUUGUCUUUGUGUACAUCUAAAUAUUAGUGUGUGUCAUUGUUUAGAACCAAAUGAUAGUGUGUCUGUGUGUAGAUCUCAUUGUUAGUGUGUCUGUGUGUACAUCUAAUCGUUUAUUGUGUCUUUGUGUACAUCUAAAUAUUAGUGUGUGUCAUUGUUUAGAACCAAAUGAUAGUGUGUCUGUG